AAUGAGAGAAAAGGUUGGAGUGAGAGACGAAAGAGAAAGGGUUGAGAGGCAUGAGAGAGGUGAGUAAGGGUUUGGGGGGUUUCAUUUUUAUUUUUACUUUUUUUUUUUCGUUUUGAGAAUGAGAGAAAAGGUUGGAGUGAGAGAGAUGAAAGAGAAGUGAUUGAAAGAAAUGAGAGAGGUGAGUAAGGGUUGGGUUUUUUUUU
rnacentral:lncRNA from 1 species